AAACAUAAAAUUUGAAAGUGUCUUAAAUGUCUCCGUAUGAUUUGAAAUGUUUGCAUAUUAAAGUAUAUAAAGAAAGCAUGAUUAAUUAAAAGAAAUAUAAUGAGAUGCAAAAAAGAAAUGGUGGAACAAAUUAUUGGUUAUGGUUAACUGCAUCACCACCUUCACAAUCUUAGAAAAUGGAUCGAAAUAUAGUGCUAAAAACCGAUCGAACAGUAUCAAUUCGACGAUAACUGUGAGAAGUAAUGACUAAUUUACAUUUGAAGAUGUUAAAGAUCCAGUUAUGACAAAUGAGAACGAUUCUAACCUAACUUCUACUACGACGGUUUUACCCCCAAUUUCUACUAAAUUGGAUGACGAAUGGCUUUAUAUUGUUGUUCCACUCGUUAUAAUUUUAAUUAUUAUACUACUGGCCGGAUUGUUUUAUUUAUUGGCACGAAGAAGACGAUUGGAGAGGCUUAGAUAUAACAUUUUAGCUUUGUAUGAAUUCGACUCAAAUGAAGAGGAAUGGGAAACUUUGACUAGUUCAGGGAGUUCAGAUUAUAAGUCCACUACUAAUUUGUAACAUGUAAAUAUAAAAUAUAUAGGUAAGUGUGUUUGUGUAAAAGAUAAUAUCUUUAUUAAAUUAAGAAUCUGCUAUUUAUGACCUGUGAUAUUGUUGAAGUUAUGUAAUAUAAAAAUAGGUUAGUGAUUUAUAAUAAUAAUAUACAUAGACAAUUUCAA